CAGAGGCAACGAUGCUCCGCAACUCCAAGGCCGAGCUGUGGGACCGGAGUCCAAACAUCUGCAGCAGCAGCAGCAGCAGCAAGGUAUGUAAAAACCUAUUUAACUUUUCUUCACGUCUUGUGUGUUUUCAAGGAUGAAUUUGCAGAAACAUGAGUUAUGUGAAACACUAAUUCAUCCCCUGAUUUGAUAAGCCUAAAUUAUUUUGAGGCAUCCAUUGAACCAAACAUAUAAUAGAAGAGAAGAUAGAGGGUGGUAUGUGGAACCUGGUCUAACAAUCUUUUAGACUGAAUUAAAAAAAAAAAAAAGGAACAAUUCGAAAUGCUUAAUAUCUAAUCAUAAUUUCAAGGCGACAAAAUCAUCAUGCUGCAAAUAACUGCUGAAAGCUAGAAUUUGGCCAAACCAACUCAAAUAAAGAUAUAAAGUGAAAGACAGCAUAACUGCAUAAACAACUGCAUAUAACUGAUGAAAGCUAGAAUUUGGCUAAACCAACCCAAAUAAAGAUAUCAAGUGAAAGACAGUAUUAAAGAUCACAAACAAAUUACAUAUGUAAUUGAAAUAAUGGCUUAUAUGAUCUAAGCAAUAAAUACUUAGAUUGUGUGUGUAUCAAAUAAACAUCAGCUAUAAGGACCUUAAAACUAUCAAAUAAAUGUCAAAUUAAAUAUCACCAACAAAUUACAGAUGCCAGAGUAGAAUUACUAAGCAGGAUAAACCAAAGAAUAUUGCUAGUAGCUAUACGAACCUCAAAACAAAUGAUUAAAUUCCUACAAACUACAUAAAAGCAAAUCUAAUUCUUUGAACAGUUGUACCGCCACCAGAGGAUGCCACUUCUGUUGAUUUGUUCCCAGAAAACUUCAGCAUGAAAUGGAUAUGUAGCCAAUUGGUUUAUUGUGCGUUCUUUGAAAACAAAAGUCAAAUGAGUCCCCAUCUAGUGGAUUGGAUGGUACUGAGUGAUCCCACGUUUAGGCGGUAAUUUCCUUAAGAUGAAGAGUACUAAAGAUGAAGGCAGAAUUUCUACAAGCUGCAAAAAUAAAAUCAAUGAAUAAUUGCCACAACCAUAUCGACAAAUGACAAAGAAAUAAUGACUAAAUAUUGGUUCAACUGUCAACUGUUGACAUUAAAGAGUAAACUGACCUGGCCAUCGAAGAUUACUAACAGGUAACCAACCCGUAAAGGACCAAAAAAUACACAUGUAGGUACAAAGCUAAUCAUACCAAUAAUAACCAGUUUAAAACCAAACAAAGAAUUCAUUGAGAAAAAAGACAUUGUAGUGGACUUGCAGCAGCUUCUUCUUGAUGCUUAAAGACCAUAACAAGCUAAGACUAGAAAUGAAAAGUAGCUUGCAGAUAACUGACUUGAGAAAGGACAUUGCUUAUUCUAAAAUGAUUUUUUUUUAUUAGUGAGGCAUGGUUACUAAGAAGGUGUAAUUUUUUAUCCAUAUAUGCAAAUUGCAAACAAUAAACUUCACCAAAUUAUGUUAGAUGAAUCAGAGAAUAACUAUACUAGCAGAAUAUAGAAGAAGUUCAAACUUAUUCUACAUAUUAAUCAAUUUUUGCUUCUGGGGUUCAGCAAUCAUAUAGUAGAAAAAACACUAUUCCAGCCUUCAAAACUAGAUCUAACGUUUAAACUAAUCAUCAUUCCAUCAAGAGAUUAAGAGGUCAAGUACAAUAAGGCUAGCAGCAUUUUCUACUAAUAUAAUCAGAUAUCAAUAGAAGAUACCAGAUUGUGUACACCGAUAUAAAUAUUAUCAAGCUUCCUGCACAGAGAAACUGCAGAGGACAUGUUGAAGAAGAUAUAGAAUAUGGACCGUACCAGGUAGUAUAAAAGGUUCAGAAUUGGAUGGUCCAGUACAUCAAGGUCUGCAGCUUUGUCAAAAGCAUUGAAGCACACCUGUCAAGCAACGAUUAAAAUAUAGGAGUUAAGAAAUCAAGUAUUUAGCAAAAUAAUAAAUUUAACCUAACUUCCUAUGCUUACCAUAAUGCAUCUCAACAAGAAACAUAGGAAACAUAUAGUGGUAACAUAACCAACCUGUACAAGUGAGGAAAAUAAAGUAAUUAAUAUAGGCAAACAUGCUGACAAGUAAACAGUGCAACUACUCUUAAAUACCUCCUGUAACUUCUUGCGUCGCCCUUUUGAUUCAACAGGAAAACGUUUCAACAUUAAGAAAAGCCUAUGAAUUACAAAAAAUCGCUUAACACACACAAGUAGAGAGAGAGAGAGGGAGGGGGGGUAGGAGAGAGAGAGAGAGAGAGAAUUUUACAAGUAACUUAUACAUUUGUCAAGAAUCAUGAAGAAUUUGAAGAAUUUAAAGCUAUUAAAAUUAUUUCGACAUUAAACACAAUCCAUUCAUAAGCUUUCCUGAUUAAAAUAAUCUCCCGUAAAUUUACCUACAGAGGCAACAUCAAGUAUGAUAAUCCACACAUGAUCCUUAUGUUAACAAAACAGAAAAGGACUAGUGAGGCCAUCAGGUUUAAGUUUCUUGAGUAGCACAUUGUUUGUCUCUAAAUAUCAUGUACAGCAGGCGCCUACAGGUACGGGAGCAAUGUGUCAGUCUUCUUUUGUGUCAGGUCAAGCUGUAUAUACCAGGUAGAACUAGCAACCAAACACAACCAAUUCAACAUUUUUUUAAUAUUUUAGGCCCCAACCCUCCAAUCAUGUAAAAUUUGUCAUAUUGGCAGAUCGUGACAAUUGUUAAGAAAAGCCACCUUUAUGUCCAAAAAUAAAUGCAAACAGAUUUCCGAGCCAAAAGAAUGAAGUAUUGUGUAUUCAUCUCAGAAGUUAUAUACUGUAUGAGAUAAAUUUACUUUCCCAACAAGGAAACAAAGCCAAGGCUUAAGGGUACCGAGAAUUAUUUUAUGAACUGAUUGUUUGGCUCUAAACCAUAUUCAAACUUGCUCUUUCUGUCAGUUUCUUAUAUUUGGCCACAAACUAGGAACUGGACGAAGACCAAAAUGGUAAUCUAACUAAUAAACAAUUAGGUUUUGUCAGGCCGCAAAUGCUCAGGUAUAAAAUCUAUCACUUGAGAGGCAAUAUAACUUCAGAAAUAUAGAUGCAAGGCACCCACCUCUCCUCCUUUUUCCUUUUGUUUUUUCCCCUUCUCCUUCCACUCUCCUCUUCCCGUCUCUUUUCAUUUUUCAACAUGUGAUGGCAUGGUGUCCAAAAGCAUAUGAAAUGACAUGAACUAUUCUAGAGGAUACAUGAGUGCACUAGAGAUAACUCACCUCCCUCCAUACAGAAGAAAACCAAGGGCAGCAAAGAAUGAGACACCUGCCAGAAAAUAUCUUUGAGGGUUGAAGAUUUCCAAAUAAAUAAAAAAUAAUAUUUCAUCUGUGUAUGAUCAUGGAAAAUAGAUUGCAUUAUCAGUAACCAAACCUGCAAAGAAUAUCUUGGAUAUGAUGAUCAUUGCUUGGAUUGGCUUCCACCACAAGACCAACCAAAGAGCAAUCUGCAAACGAUUAAACAUGAUACAACCAAAGUAAAAGUAAUUAAAUCUGAUGUGAUAUUUUACUUAACUUUGUACAGUGUCUGCCAGAACUUAUGCACAGAAGGUAACUCAUAGUCACACACAAACUUUCUGUUAGUUUUCUCUUUUUUGGAUAUAACCAAAACUUCUAUUAGCUAAUAUCAAUACAAACUGUGAAGCAACAGGGUCUGCUGCAUGCCAAAAAUAUGAAAAACUGUGAACUCUACCAAAACUAGCUAGCUUGUGGGCUACAUGGUUGGCUUCACUGGGUAUGUGCCAAAAAUUUACAGGUAUUAACUUCUCCUGUAAGUAUCUGGUAUUGAUCCAUCUUGGGAAACAGAUAAAUUAAAGGCCAGAUUAAAAUGGCAUUAGUAUCAAAAUAGUUAGUACGGCACUUGGUCUGCCACUCGCUAAAACAAAAUACAAUGCAAGACACAGCUCCCACCAUAUGCAGUGUCUUUCUAUUAGGAUCUAAUCCAAAUCCAUAGAUGUCUUUGCAUCGCCUCUUCCCUCUUUUUGUACCCCGUGCUCCUUAAUAUAUUAUCUUGACUGUUUUCACAUCAAACAAUAACUUUAUUGCAUACUGUUGUUGGCUGCAAAUGUUUGAAUGGUAAAAGUUUGAUGUCUUCCUGAUCCCUUCUAUUCUACAAGGUUGAAACUUGCUUAUUGUUUGACUAACAACAUAUACAUUUUGCUAGGCUC
rnacentral:lncRNA from 1 species